CUUUUAGUAACACUGGGUUAGUAGCACGAGACCACCACAUUCUCCCACCAUCAGUGAGGGCGGCGCGUGUCUCAAACGAGUUUAUAAUCAACCGUAAUAUAUUAACUUUCCGAGCGAUGAACUCCGCCGACGAGAAUUUCGAGCUGAGAGAAAUUCAGCGACUCGAAGGCCACACUGAUAGGGUUUGGGGCGUAGCAUGGAAACCGGCAACUGGAGUCAACGGCGUUCCUGCAGUACUGGCUUCUUGUAGCGGAGACAAAACCGUCUGUGUUUGGGAACAAAGUCCCGCCACAGGCUCUUUCCAGCAAAAGGCAGUCUUGGAGGAGACACACACUAGGACUGUUAGGUCGUGCAUGUGGUCGCCAUCUGGAAAAUUGUUGGCGACAGCAAGUUUUGAUGCCACCACUGCUAUCUGGGAAGAUGUUGGGGGUGAUUUUGAAUGCAUUUCCAAUUUAGAGGGUCAUGAAAAUGAAGUUAAAAGUGUUUCUUGGAAUGCAUCCGGCUCACUACUUGCAACAUGUGGACGAGACAAAUCAGUGUGGAUAUGGGAAUUAUUACCCCAUAAUGAAUUUGACUGCGUUUCAGUGUUGCAGGGACACACUCAAGAUGUUAAAAUGGUCCAAUGGCAUCCCUCUAUGGAUAUUUUGUUUUCAUGUAGUUACGACAACACUAUUAAGGUCUGGGCGGAGGAUGGGGACAGUGAUGAUUGGCAUUGUGUUCAAACUUUAGGUGAAUCCAACAGUGGACACUCUUCUACUAUCUGGGCUUUAUCUUUUAACACCAAUGGAGACAAAAUGGUUUCCUGUAGUGAUGACCUUACCGUUAAGGUAUGGGGCGCUGACAUUAUGAGGAUGCAUUCGGGAGAUGGAAAUGUACCUUGGGCACAUCUUUGUACUCUUUCUGGCUAUCACGAUCGGACAAUUUUUUCUGUCCAUUGGUCAAGGCCACACUUAGUUCUGGGUUCUUUAUAGUUUACGGCAGGUGAUCACGCUUUUGGUGCCAUCUACAGUUGGCCUUCGUAAUUUUCAGCGUCGUCUGACGUUCCGGCAUCUCUAAGCCUGGGUGUCAAGUCUCUUCGCUGGGUCAAGCAUUAGGGUUGGCAGAGUCAACAUCGGUGGCAGUAGAAGAAAGCGGGGUCCAUCAACAGAGGAGAAUUGGAGAGAAUCGAAGGGUGCUUUUCGUUGCUAUCGCUGUUACUAGAUUGAGAAUUGUCUCACUGCUUCUUCCACUUUCUAAGUGGACCGUCGAACCCAGAAGCUGUUGGGUUGAACCGUACCUCGAGGAGGUCCAGCUAUGUCUCGUCCCUUCUUCCAUUUUCUUCUCUCUAGUGUUGCUCUCCUCUUGAUUGGGCUUUGGUUAAUUGGACCGUGUUUCUUUGUCUCUGCCAGUUAAAUUGAAUAACGGGUUAUAUUUGUAUCAAUUGGUCUUGUGUCCCUAAGAUUGAUUUAAUUAUUUAAAGUUACGGGUUUGAUUAAAAUUUCUAAUUCAUGGCUAAUUUCCUAAGUGCUGAGCAGGUGGAUCACCUUCUUCAAUGGCUGAAAUUCACUCCUACAUGUGGUCCUUCUGCUGGUUCUUUGGCCUAAACAGGCGAUCUCCCUAGUACAUACUCUUGUGGUUUAACUUGAUUCUGGUGCAUCCGACCAUAUGACUAGUACUUCACAAUUUUUUCAAUCUCAUUACCCGUGUCCAAGGAAUAAAAAGAUUAGAAUUGCAGAUGGUAGUCUCUCAUCCAUUGCAGGAAUAAGUUCUGUCCAAAUCUAUGAGAAAAUUGAACUAAAAUCUGUCCUUCAUGUUCCUAAACUUGCUUGUAAUUUGCUAUCUCUUAGUAAACUGUCACGUGAUUCUAAUUGUCGUGUUAUAUUCUUUAAUUCCCAUUAUGAAUUUCAGGACCAACUCUCGGGGAGGAUGAUUGGCAAAGCUAGGAUGAUUGAUGGACUCUAUUAUUUUGAUGAUACCUAAUUCAACAAUAAACAAGUUCAGGGGUUAAGUACUAAUGGGAAGGGAUAAUUGCCAGUGGAGCAGCUGAUGAUGCUAUCCGUUUAUUUGUUGAGAGUAUAGAUGGAUUG